rnacentral:rRNA from 1 species
CCUACGGGAGGCAGCAGUGGGGAAUAUUGCACAAUGGGGGAAACCCUGAUGCAGCGACGCCGCGUGAGUGAAGAAGUAUCUCGGUAUGUAAAGCUCUAUCAGCAGGGAAGAAGCCCACCCUUUGGGGUGGCUGACGGUACCUGACUAAGAAGCCCCGGCUAACUACGUGCCAGCAGCCGCGGUAAUACGUAGGGGGCGAGCGUUAUCCGGAAUUACUGGGUGUAAAGGGAGCGUAGACGGCGAGGUAAGCCUGAAGUGGAAGCCCGCGGCCCAACCGCGGAACUGCUUUGGGAACUGUUUUGCUG